rnacentral:misc_RNA from 1 species
GAUGAAGAACGCAGCGAAAUGCGAUAAGUAAUGUGAAUUGCAGAAUUCAGUGAAUCAUCGAAUCUUUGAACGCACCUUGCACCCUUUGGCAUUCUGAAGGGUAUGCUCGUUUGAGUGUCAUUGUACUCUCACACUCCCGAUCUUUGCAUUGGGAGCAGUGGACUUGGGUUUGCUGCUUCACCGUCGCUUACCUCAAAUAGGUUAGUGCAACUCUUGUUGGACAUAGUACGGCGUGAUAAGUGUUCUUCGCCGGUGCCUCGCAAAGAGGGUGGCCGAUCGGGAUGUUGUGCUCCAAACCGUCUUCGGACAAUCUCUGACGACUUGACCUCAAAUCGAGUAAGACUACCCGCUGAACUUAAGCAUAUCAAUAAGCGGAGGA